rnacentral:lncRNA from 1 species
GUUAGGUGUGUACAUCAGCCGAACUUGGUCAAAACAUCAAGGUAUAAUAAUUGGCAGUAUUGUUGCAACUAUACAUUUACUAUUUCUUCUUUAUCUACAUUUUGCGUACCAUUCAACGUAUGAAGAAGCUGCAAAUCUCCUUAAUCGAGAAAAAAGAUCGAUAUUUUCUGGUAUUUUAAUGCCAUCUAGUAUUGCAUCCACUUAAAGACAGGCAAUAAAAUAAAUAUGGAUAAAGUUGACAAUAUUUAACAAGAGAUGCUGGUGAUGAUAGUUAAAUGGUUAUGUUUCACUUAUUUUAAUUAUCGCUUGAGUGGUGUUGUGUAUAGCGAAUUGUAUAAUAAACAAAGAUUUUAAAC